UCAUCGUCAUUCGUUCCCUUCCGCUCUUUCGUCGGUCUUGUUUUAUUAUCGAGCGUGUGGAUCUCGCUCGUGGAAUUAACGCUGCGCCCGAUUUACGCGGGCCUCCAUUUCCCCCCUCCCUCCCUCCCUCCCCCCUCCCCUCCCUGCGAUUGAUGCGCCUCGCCGCCUCGUGACGAGCCACGAAUAAAUAUUGUAAAUCUCGUCGAUGCGACUUGCGAACAACGCCGUUUGAUUAAUCAUCGAACUGUAAUUAAUCGCCCAGAGGCUCGAAAAGGUG